rnacentral:rRNA from 1 species
GACGUAGGGGGCGAGCGUUGUCCGGAUUUAUUGGGCGUAAAGAGCUCGUAGGCGGCUCGUUGCGUCGGCUGUGAAAACCCGCAGCUCAACUGUGGGCUUGCAGCCGAUACGGGCGGGCUGGAGUUCGGUAGGGGAGACUGGAAUUCCCGGUGUAGCGGUGAAAUGCGCAGAUAUCGGGAGGAACACCGGUGGCGAAGGCGGUUCUCUGGGCCUUACCUGACGCUGAGGAGCGAAAGCGUGGGGAGCGAACAGGG